AGUGAACGCUGGCGGUAUGCCUAACACAUGCAAGUCGAACGGCAGCACAGUAAGAGCUUGCUCUUACGGGUGGCGAGUGGCGGACGGGUGAGGAAUACAUCGGAAUCUACUUUUUCGUGGGUGAUAACGUAGGGCAACUUACGCUAAUACCGCAUACCACCUACGGGUGAAAGCAGGGGAUCUUCGGACCUUGCUGGAUUGAAUGAGCCGAUGUCGGAUUAGCUAGUUGGCGGGGUAAAGGGCCACCCAGGCGACGAUCCGUAGGUGGUCUGAGCGGAGGAUCGGCCACACUGGAACUGGGACACGGUCACGACUCCUACGGGAGGCAGCAGUGGGGAAUAUUGGACAAUGGGCGCAAGCCUGAUCCAGCCAUAGCGAGUGGGUGAAGAAGGCCUUCGGGUUGUAAAGCCCUUUUGUUGGGAAUGAAAAGCAGCCGGUUAAUACCCCGCUGUUCUGACGGUACCUUAAGAAUAAGCACCGGCUAACUUCGUG
rnacentral:rRNA from 1 species